rnacentral:rRNA from 1 species
ACACGCAUGACACACUGCAUAUCAAUAAGCGGAGGAAAAGAAACUAACAAGGAUUCCCUUAGUAACGGCGAGUGAAGCGGGAAGAGCUCAAAUUUGAAAUCUUCAAGGUUCUACCUUGACGAAUUGUAGUUUAUAGAAGUGUUUUCUGUUAGUAGAGUGGCAAAAGUUCUUUGGAAUAGGACAUCAUAGAGGGUGAGAAUCCCGUAUUUGACCGUUACUUUCCUAGCUUUGUGAUACACUUUCAAAGAGUCGGAUUGUUUGGGAAUGCAGUCCAAAAUGGGUGGUAAAUUUCAUCUAAAGCUAAAUAUUGGCGAGAGACCGAUAGCGAACAAGUACCGUGAGGGAAAGAUGAAAAGAACUUUGAAAAGAGAGUUAAACAGUACGUGAAAUUGUCAAAAGGGAAGCGUUUGACACCAGUGUUGUUUUUCGAAAAUCAAUUAGAAUAGUUUUCGAUUUUGAGUAAGUAUUGACCUUAUCAGGCUUGCUUCUUCUUUCUCGAAAUUAUUUAAUGCACUUUUCAGUUAACAAGUCAACAUCAAUUUCUUUUGUUGUAAAAGGGUAUGAGGAAGGUGGCUUGCUCUUCGGCGCAAGUGUUUAUAGCCUUGUACCCUCUGCAAUCGGAGAGAUUGAGGUCUGCAGCGUAGAUCCUUCGGGGUUAGAUACAUUUGUGCUAAGCUAUAGCCUUUCAUAGACAACUUGUUGACUAUGCUCAGUCAUGUAGCUUACUCGCUUAUGCUAUUUUACCUACGCUUAGGAUGUUGAGCGCAUGUCUCUCUCU